rnacentral:misc_RNA from 1 species
CAAAUCCAUCCACGUCUCAAUUUUGAGACCACGUUGAAAUGUUCCCCAGUCAAGCGCGUCCGCGUGUCUGACUGGGCUGUUAAACUAGUGUACCUUGUUGCUCAAUUGUAUAAGUCCUCGAGGGUUCACUCUCUCCAGGAUGACAAACUUGUACAACUUAUAACAAUGGAUCUCUAGGCUCUUGCAUCGAUGAAGAACGCAGCCAAACGCGAAAUGUGUUAUGACUUGCAAUCUUCGCGAAUCAUUUAAUCUUUGAACGCAACUUGCACCCUUGGGCUUGACCCUUGGGUAUACUUGUUUGAGUAUCGUCUAUGCUCUCACGCAUCAUUUAGGUCCCUGCGGCCAUGACUGAUGCGUGGAUGUGAGGCGUAGCGUGACAUCAACGUGUCGCGCUUGCCUUUAAAUGUAUGCUCUCCUGCUCCAAUGCGAGUCAGGCCCUGGCCUGGGUGUCCCGCAAGGGACGCUCAGGCACACCAACUUGGGAUAACGUCCAUCAAGCUGGUGCGCCUGACCAUCCACAUCAUUGGACCUGGCUGUCGCGAGGCAGCGCAGGGGCAAAGGAACGUCCGCCGGGCCGCGCAAGCCGCCCUGGCGCGACUGUACAAUCAAUCUGACGUACCGAUCUCAAAUCAAGUAAGGCUACCCGCUGAACUUAAGCAUAUCAAUAAGCGGAGGAAUCGUUCCCUUGGUCAUUUAGAGGAAGUAAAAGUCGUAACAAGGUCUCCGUAGGUGAACCUGCGGAGGGAUCAUUACCCAAAUAUGAAGGCCGAUGGGGCCAGCCCUUUGUUGGGUAUGCCCCGUCUGGCGCCAUAUUCACCCAUGUCUUUUUGCGUACUACUUGUUUCCUUGGUGGGUUCGCCCGCCAUUAGGACCUUUACUCAACCCUUUUUUUGCAAUUGCCAUCAGCGUCAGCAAAACAAUUAGUAAUCCAAUUUA